GCAGCCGGACGGUCUGUCGCUGGAAGCCCCUUCGGGGACUCAAGAGGAAAGUCCGGGCAGCAUAGGGCAUCCCACUUCUUAAUACGGAAGCAGUCCGCGAGGGUUGAGUAAUGCAGAAGAAAAUAACAACAGCUUCGGCUGAAAUGGUGAGAAGGUGAGGUAAGAGCUCACCAGCGGCAUGGUGACAUGUCGGCUGUGCAUCUUGGGAGCUGCAAGUUCAUGUAAACCACCCGACAGAGGGUCGCCCGCUCAAGUUGACGAAGGUCUGAGCAGCAAUGCAACAAGGCCGGGGCUCAUACGGUGGAGGGUAGAACGCUAGAGCCAUGGGGUGACUCAUGGAGUAGAUAAAUGACAGACACGUGCCAUCAGCAAUCUGUUGACAUGUACAAAACCCGGCUUACAGUCCGACUGCUUUU
rnacentral:RNase_P_RNA from 1 species